rnacentral:rRNA from 1 species
ACGGCUGAGUAACGCGUGGGUGACGUACCUAUCGGUGGGGAAUAACUGCCCGAAAGGGUGGCUAAUACCGCAUACGUCCACUCCUUCAGUGGGGUGGGGAAAACCGCAAGGUGUCGAUGGAGCGGCCCGCGUUCGAUUAGCUGGUUGGUGGGGUAACGGCCUACCAAGGCGACGAUCGAUAGCUGGUCUCAGAGGAUGAUCAGCCAGACUGGGACUGAGACACGGCCCAG